GACGAACGCUGGCGGCGUGCUUAACACAUGCAAGUCGAACGGAAAGGCCCUGCUUUUGUGGGGUGCUCGAGUGGCGAACGGGUGAGUAACACGUGAGUAACCUGCCCUUGACUUUGGGAUAACUUCAGGAAACUGGGGCUAAUACCGGAUAGGAGCUCCUGCUGCAUGGGGGGGGUUGGAAAGUUUCGGCGGUGGGGGAUGGACUCGCGGCUUAUCAGCUUGUUGGUGGGGUAGUGGCUUACCAAGGCUUUGACGGGUAGCCGGCCUGAGAGGGUGACCGGCCACAUUGGGACUGCGAUACGGACCAGUCUCCUACGGGAGGCAGCAGUGGGGAAUAUGGCACAAUGGGCCGAAGCCUGAUGCAGCAACGCCGCGUGCGGGAUGACGGCCUUCGGGUUGUAAACCGCUUUCGCCUGUGACGAAGCGUGAGUGACGGUAAUGGGUAAAGAAGCACCGGCUAACUACGUG
rnacentral:rRNA from 1 species